CCUUUGCCGGCAGCGCUGUAGUGGAUCUGUUCCACAGAACGAUGAGCCACGACUAGCCGCGCAACCUCUCGAGGAGUUUCCUGUACAAUGCAAAUUUCUUUCCUAGGACUUAUCUCGAAAUCUGGCAAUAUUCUUUCACGCAGGGAAAUGAGAGCCCAGCGCUCGAGCAACCGGCCCCGCGAGCUCACAGCAAAUUGGUACAAGCGUUGUUCUUGCCAAAAAUGAGUCCGAGCGAUAUGUGUUUUGUAGCAAGGAUUGGCGAGUCUAUGUUGCUGGGCCUUAUCAUCUCUGGUAGCCCUCUGUGCUUCUGCGUGCUCUCGACAGUCCAAGGAAAAGAAUCUCCAAGACGACCAAGCUCACCAAGCUGACAUUGAUGACGACGACGCACUUGAAUUGGACAUGCAGCCUCUCCGAGGGCUACCCUACAUCGUGUCAUGGUCGUUUAUCCAGAAACUGG